rnacentral:rRNA from 1 species
AUUGUACGCUGGCGGCAUGCUUUACACAUGCAAGUCGAACGGCAGCACAGGGAGCUUGCUCCUGGGUGGCGAGUGGCGAACGGGUGAGUAAUGUAUCGGAACGUGCCUGGUAGUGGGGGAUAACUACUCGAAAGAGUGGCUAAUACCGCAUGAGAUCUUUGGAUGAAAGCGGGGGACCUUCGGGCCUCGUGCUACUGGAGCGGCCGAUAUCAGAUUAGGUUGUUGGUGGGGUAAAGGCCUACCAAGCCUGCGAUCUGUAGCUGGUCUGAGAGGACGACCAGCCACACUGGGACUGAGACACGGCCCAGACUCCUACGGGAGGCAGCAGUGGGGAAUUUUGGACAAUGGGCGCAAGCCUGAUCCAGCAAUGCCGCGUGCAGGACGAAGGCCUUCGGGUUGUAAACUGCUUUUGUACAGAACGAAAAGUCUCUGGCUAAUAUCUAGAGAUCAUGACGGUACUGUAAGAAUAAGCACCGGCUAACUACGUG